GACGUAGGGCGCGAGCGUUGUCCGGAUUUAUUGGGCGUAAAGAGCUCGUAGGCGGCUUGUCGCGUCGUCCGUGAAAACCUGCGGCUCAACUGCAGGCUGGCGGUCGAUACGGGCAGGCUGGAGUUCGGUAGGGGAGACUGGAAUUCCUGGUGUAGCGGUGAAAUGCGCAGAUAUCAGGAGGAACACCGGUGGCGAAGGCGGCUCUCGUGGGAACGGUACUGACGCUGAGACGC
rnacentral:rRNA from 1 species